rnacentral:tRNA from 2 species
GCCCCAGUGUGGUAAGGGAAAUCCGUUGGGCUUGCGGAGCCUAACAUCCGGGUUCGACUCCCGGCUGGGGCA